rnacentral:piRNA from 1 species
UUACUCAGUAGGUUUGUAGUUAAG